UACGGAGGGUGCAAGCGUUAAUCGGAAUUACUGGGCGUAAAGCGUGCGCAGGCGGUUUGUUAAGUCCGCUGUGAAAUCCCCGAGCUCAACUUGGGAAUUGCAGUGGAUACUGGCAAGCUGGAGUAUGGUAGAGGAAGGUGGAAUUCCCGGUGUAGCAGUGAAAUGCGUAGAGAUCGGAAAGAACACCAACGGCGAAAGCACUCUGCUGGGCCGACACUGACACUGAGACGCGAAAGCGUGGGGAGCAAACAGG
rnacentral:rRNA from 1 species